GGAAGUUCGAGAGUGGUAGUUGUGUGGGAAAGGUUAUGACAAAUGGAAAGUGAGCCUCCUUAUAUCAUCACCUAUUUCCGCUGGACAGGCUAGUAGCUCCCAGAGAACUCAAGGAAGGACUUCGCUGAUUGAUUCGGAAUCGUAUAAGCAUUACUACCCCUUGUUAUUGUGUGGCACCUGGCAAAAAUCUAGGGAUUUCUGGUAAACGAUGUGAUGGAGAUGAACGCCUGUGAUAAAUCAAUCAGGACAUCAAGACAUGUGUUUAUAAA